CGCGAUUUGUUAGAUGAGUUUCCCAAACGCAGUUAUUCCUUGCAGAUAAUUUUCUUUUCGCCGUUAUUCACAGUCGCAAAUUUUCCCACUUUUUUAAUUUCCCUGUCUUACUAUUUCUCGGUUAAAAUUCAGACAAAAAAAUAUCAGAAACAGAAGCAAAGCGACUGUAAAAAUAAGCUGCAGAGGAAAAAUUAACUGCAGGUUAAAAUUCAGACAAAAAAAUAUCAGAAACAGAAGCAAAGCGACUGUAAAAAUAAGCUGCAGAGGAAAAAUUAACUGCAG